rnacentral:rRNA from 1 species
GAACGCUGGCGGCGUGCUUAACACAUGCAAGUCGAACGGUGAAGCUCCAGCUUGCUGGAGUGGAUCAGUGGCGAACGGGUGAGUAACACGUGAGCAACCUGCCCCUGACUCUGGAAUAAGCGCUGGAAACGGCGUCUAAUACUGGAUACGAGAAGGGUCCGCAUGGGCACUUUCUGGAAAGUUUUUCGGUUGGGGAUGGGCUCGCGGCCUAUCAGCUUGUUGGUGAGGUAAUGGCUCACCAAGGCGACGACGGGUAGCCGGCCUGAGAGGGCGACCGGCCACACUGGGACUGAGACACGGCCCAGACUCCUACGGGAGGCAGCAGUGGGGAAUAUUGCACAAUGGGCGAAAGCCUGAUGCAGCGACGCCGCGUGAGGGAUGACGGCCUUCGGGUUGUAAACCUCUUUCAGCAGGGAAGAAGCGAAAGUGACGGUACCUGCAGAAGAAGCACCGGCUAACUACGUG